UACGGAGGAUCCGAGCGUUAUCCGGAUUUAUUGGGUUUAAAGGGUGCGUAGGCGGUUUGAUAAGUUAGAGGUGAAAUGUCGGGGCUCAACCCCGAAACUGCCUCUAAUACUGUUGGACUAGAGAAUAGUUGCGGUAGGCGGAAUGUAUGGUGUAGCGGUGAAAUGCUUAGAGAUCAUACAGAACACCGAUUGCGAAGGCAGCUUACCGAACUAUAUCUGACGUUGAGGCACGAAAGCGUGGGUAGCAAACAGG
rnacentral:rRNA from 1 species